UUUCCGUAGGUGAACCUGCGGAAGGAUCAUUAUCGAGUUAGGGUCUCUGGCCCGACCUCCAACCCUGUGUCUACUAUACCAUGUUGCUUUGGCGGGCCCGCGUUCGUCGCCGCCGAGGGGUUGACCCCCCUGGGCCAGUGCCCGCCGAUAGCCCCCUCUUAAACUCUUGAUCAACCGUGAAUGUCUGAGUAAAAAAAAAAUCAAUCACAUAACUUUCAACAACUGAUCUCUUGGUUUCUUCAUUGUUGAAGAACACAGAAAAUCGUAAGAGCAUCCGUC
rnacentral:misc_RNA from 1 species